rnacentral:rRNA from 1 species
CCCUUAGAUGUUCUGGGCUGCACGCGUGCUACAAUGGCGCUUGCAACAAGUCUUGCCAACCCGAUAGGGUGAGCGGAUCUUUGAAGAGGCGUCGUGAUCGGGACAGUUGAUUGCAAUUAUUCGACUCGAACGAGGAAUUCCUUGUAAUCGCGAUUCAUCAUAUCGCGCUGAAUACGUCCCUGCCCUUUGUACACACCGCCCGUCGCUCCUACCGAUUGAGCGAUCCGGUGAAGCCUCGGGAUUGUGGUUCUUGCCGCUUUAUUGUGGCGUGACCGCGAGAACUUGUCUAAACCUUAUCAUCUAGAGGAAGGUGAAGUCGUAACA